AGUCUCUAGUUUCUCUUCACAUCAUAUAAAUCUUUUACUCUUUACUAAAGAUUUCUGUGGAGAGGAACAGGCAUGUAUGUUGAUGAAUUUUUUGAGGCUCCAUUUUGGUGGGUAU